rnacentral:lncRNA from 1 species
GUAAAUAUCUGAUACGUCGAGGUUUCAAUGUGCCAUUGUGCGCCGACCUCCUAAGAAUCCACCUUUCUCAAUCCUAUGUUCUCACGUCUGUCAUACAGUAUACCUUCACUUUGACUAACGAUGAGUAAUGAUCUCGAGGCGGGCUGACAAUAGAUAGAAGGAAUUUCCACAUAACACUAUUUAUGAUGAUCAUCGUUUUUGUUUCUCCUGUAAUUACAUGUAUAUCCGUUACUGACAUUAUUCUUUGUUUAAUAUUUUAAAUUUAUAUAAAU